UACGUAGGGACCAAGCGUUGUUCGGAUUUACUGGGCGUAAAGGGCGCGUAGGCGGCCAGCACAAGUCAGUUGUGAAAUCUCCGAGCUUAACUCGGAAAGGUCAACUGAUACUGUGCGGCUAGAGUGCAGAAGGGGCAACUGGAAUUCUUGGUGUAGCGGUGAAAUGCGUAGAUAUCAAGAGGAACACCUGCGGCGAAGGCGGGUUGCUGGGCUGACACUGACGCUGAGGCGCGAAAGCUAGGGGAGCGAACGGG
rnacentral:rRNA from 1 species